AAGAAGAUUCUGGAGUGCGUAGUUCUGCUUCCAGUCUAGCAACUUCCUUCUGCAGAUGUUUGACCAAUUGCUUAUCCGACACAACCUGACACAUCAAAAUUCAGUUGCAAUUAUAUAUCCAGUUGCAUAGUAACCAAGAUAGGUAUAUUUAUUCAAUCGAGCAACAAUCAUAUCUAGAAAGUGGCUAGAAUGCUAUUGAUGGUAAAGGAAUAAUGUUUACUAUCAACUUUUAAUCCCUUGGAUGCCUAGGGUUUAGUGGGGGUUGGUUGAAUAGUAAUGAUCCAAGGGUUAAAAAAUAGAUAGUAAAAACUAUUCCUUUACUAUCAAUAGUAUUGUAGGUGAACUCAUUAUAUAUAUAUUCUGUAGUGUGCGACAUACCAUAUUAACUUGAGCAGUAUUGGUAACUUCCUUGGCACAGGUUGCGAAGAAGAGAGUGUUUCGAGAUUGCUCAACAUGACUUUGUGCCGGACUCAUUGUACAGAUGAUGGCUGUUCUCG
rnacentral:lncRNA from 1 species